AGUGAACGCUGGCGGCAGGCCUAACACAUGCAAGUCGAACGGCAGCACAGGAGAGCUUGCUCUCUGGGUGGCGAGUGGCGGACGGGUGAGGAAUACGUCGGAAUCUGCCUAUUUGUGGGGGAUAACGUAGGGAAACUUACGCUAAUACCGCAUACGACCUACGGGUGAAAGCGGAGGACCUUCGGGCUUCGCGCAGAUAGAUGAGCCGACGUCGGAUUAGCUAGUUGGCGGGGUAACGGCCCACCAAGGCGACGAUCCGUAGCUGGUCUGAGAGGAUGAUCAGCCACACUGGAACUGAGACACGGUCCAGACUCCUACGGGAGGCAGCAGUGGGGAAUAUUGGACAAUGGGCGCAAGCCUGAUCCAGCCAUACCGCGUGGGUGAAGAAGGCCUUCGGGUUGUAAAGCCCUUUUGUUGGGAAAGAAAUCCUGUCGAUUAAUACUCGGUGGGGAUGACGGUACCCAAAGAAUAAGCACCGGCUAACUUCGUGCCAGCCGCCGCGGUAAGAC
rnacentral:rRNA from 1 species